rnacentral:lncRNA from 12 species
CUCACUUGUUUGGAGACUAAGUUCUUCUUAAUUUAGAACCUGCUCAACCCCCAGAAGUGUGAGAGCGUGUCCAGGAACAAUCCCUCCUGGCUCCCUGAUCCAGGGCUCUGCGUGCUUGUGAGAAACCUGAAGAUCAAGGCGACCUUAUAGGGAUCUGGGUUGGGAGCCUCAGAGACGAUGUUGGAAUGGGGUUUUUUUUUGUUGUUUUUUUUUUUGGGGGGGGGGGUGUUUGUUUUUUAAUGUGAGAUAUAGUUGACACACAAUGUUAUAUUCACUUCAGGUACACAACAUAGCGAUUCGAUGACUAUCUACAUUAUGAAAUGCUCCCCACAAGAGGUGUAGUUACCAUCUGUCACCACACAAAUUUAUGACCAUGUUGGAAUCAUCGUAACCACACUUGUGUUCAUUGUUUAUCACCCCCGACUAAACAAAUUACCAUGUUCCUGCAUGUUAUUUCGCCGUGAGCAGGAGGUAAACCUCUGCUGAUACCGAGCAUAGAUAGUUCAAGAUGUCUGAGCCCACCGCUAAUGGGCCUCUGGUUUCCUGUAGCCUUUGUAGCCCAGAAAGUUUGGGAGGACUACAUAGACCUCAAGACCUGGGGUUGACUGGGUCUCCUAAAUCUGAGGAUUAUAACUUCAUGCUCCUUACAUCCAGCACUCAUCACCUACCGUCGUGUCAUUUUGUUGGGGACACUGCCCACCAUCUGACCUCUGUCAGUUCCCUGGAAUCAUGAGUAAAUGUGUGACUCCAACACAG